rnacentral:rRNA from 1 species
GAUGAACGCUGGCGGCGUGCUUAACACAUGCAAGUCGAACGAAGCACUUAAGAUUGCUUCUUCGGAUGACGUCUUUUGUGACUUAGUGGCGGACGGGUGAGUAACGCGUGGGUAACCUGCCUCACACAGGGGGAUAACAGUUAGAAAUGACUGCUAAUACCGCAUAACCCGAUAGGAUCGCAUGAUCCAGACGGAAAAGAUUUAUCGGUGUGAGAUGGACCCGCGUCUGAUUAGCUAGUUGGUGAGGUAACGGCCCACCAAGGCGACGAUCAGUAGCCGGCCUGAGAGGGUGAACGGCCACAUUGGGACUGAGACACGGCCCAAACUCCUACGGGAGGCAGCAGUGGGGAAUAUUGCACAAUGGGGGAACCCCUGAUGCAGCGACGCCGCGUGAGUGAAGAAGUAUUUCGGUAUGUAAAGCUCUAUCAGCAGGGAAGAAAAUGACGGUACCUGACUAAGAAGCCCCGGCUAACUACGUG